GUGGGGAAUAUUGGACAAUGGGCGAAAGCCUGAUCCAGCCAUGCCGCGUGUGUGAAGAAGGUCUUCGGAUUGUAAAGCACUUUAAGUUGGGAGGAAGGGCAGUAAGUUAAUACCUUGCUGUUUUGACGUUACCGACAGAAUAAGCACCGGCUAACUUCGUGCCAGCAGCCGCGGUAAUACGAAGGGUGCAAGCGUUAAUCGGAAUUACUGGGCGUAAAGCGCGCGUAGGUGGUUUUGUAAGUUGGAGGUGAAAUCCCCGGGCUGAACCUGGGAACUGCCUCCAAAACUGCAUGACUAGAGUACGGUAGAGGGUAGUGGAAUUUCCUGUGUAGCGGUGAAAUGCGUAGAUAUAGGAAGGAACACCAGUGGCGAAGGCGACUACCUGGACUGAUACUGACACUGAGGUGCGAAAGCGUGGGGAGCAAACAGGAUUAGAAACCCUAGUAGUCC
rnacentral:rRNA from 1 species